AACGAACGCUGGCGGCAGGUUUAACACAUGCAAGUCGAGCGCCCCGCAAGGGGAGCGGCAGACGGGUGAGUAACGCGUGGGAAUCUACCCAUCUCUACGGAAUAACGCAUGGAAACGUGUGCUAAUACCGUAUACGUCCUUCGGGAGAAAGAUUUAUCGGAGAUGGAUGAGCCCGCGUUGGAUUAGCUAGUUGGUGGGGUAAAGGCCUACCAAGGCGACGAUCCAUAGCUGGUCUGAGAGGAUGAUCAGCCACACUGGGACUGAGACACGGCCCAGACUCCUACGGGAGGCAGCAGUGGGGAAUAUUGGACAAUGGGCGCAAGCCUGAUCCAGCCAUGCCGCGUGAGUGAUGAAGGCCCUAGGGUUGUAAAGCUCUUUCACCGGUGAAGAUAAUGACGGUAACCGGAGAAGAAGCUCCGGCUAACUUCGUGCCAGCAGCCGCAGUAAUAC
rnacentral:rRNA from 1 species